UUUAAACUUCUAUAUAUCUGAAAAUAUUUCUUCUUCCAGUUCUACGCGUGUUUAUAAUUAAAAAAAAAAAAAAAUCUAUGUUGAAACGCAUUAUAUUAUAUUAUAUUAUAUUAUAUUAUUAUCCGAUGUAGUUGUGAGUUGUAACUAAGAAUAAUGAACAAAACCCUAAACCCUAAAAUCCUCGAAAUCCAGCGCGACGACGGAGGAGAAGAAGACAACGAAGAAGAAGAAAUGAAGGAAUCCCAAAAGAAGGCGAAGCCCUCGCCUCUACGCGGGCGCUUCCUCCGACCCCAAACCCUAACCCCCGUCUCCUUCAAACCCUACCGAUCCGAUCGCGCCGCCUCCACCACCUCCUCCUCCGCCGCCGCCGCCGCCUCCGCCGAUGACGGCGCGCUCGAUCUCUCCGGCCUCCGUGAAUCCCUCCCGCCGCUCGCCGGCGAGGUGCGUCAUCCGCCGCAGCGGAGGCGGCGGCGCCCCUGGCACAUCGAACCCGACCUAAUUCGGCUAAUCCUCUGCUUGUGCUUAUCUGGGCGCGCCGCGAAGGCGGCGGCGGCGGCGGAGCGUAAGGUGGUCGACGAGAGCCCGGGAUCCGGCCUCGGCGAGGCCCCGGUGCUGAGGCGCAAGGACAGGAGAAAGAGCUGGUUGCCCCCGCUCGAGGAAGCGGGGAGAUGCAUUCCGAGCUGCGAUGCGCCACCGCCGCAGCUUUCCGGGGAGGAACGGAUGGGAGAUCAGAUGGAGUAAGAGGCAGGAUUGGAUAAUAAGAGCUUCCUGGAGAAGACAUUUUGACGAGCUUUUUUAGUUUCUUCUAGAUUGUGGCCGUGAGCUAGGACAGUAAGGAUGGGGCACAGUUCCUUUCAUUGCACUCCAUGUCCAGGUUGGUGUCAGCAACUCUUUUGUACACAAGAGACGCACAACAAUACAUUAUUUUGGGCAUUUUAACCCCAUCCUAUUGAAUAAUUCUAAGAUUGGGACCAUAAGGACAGGGUGUGCAUCACACCUUUUCUUUUUCUUUUUUUCUUUUCUUCUUGUUUCAGAGAAUGGAAGGAAACAUUCAGCAAAGCAUUCUAGGGCUAUAAAUUAAUGGUGAGGAAUAAUUAUUGGAGUCUUA